rnacentral:rRNA from 1 species
CGGACGGGUGAGUAAUGUCUGGGAAACUGCCCGAUGGAGGGGGAUAACUACUGGAAACGGUAGCUAAUACCGCAUAACGUCGCAAGACCAAAGAGGGGACCGUUCGGGCCUCUUGCCAUCGGAUGUGCCCAGAUGGGAUUAGCUAGUAGGUGGGGUAACGGCUCACCUAGGCGACGAUCCCUAGCUGGUCUGAGAGGAUGACCAGCCACACUGGAACUGAGACACGGUCCAG